UCAGCUGAUUAUGACAGAUAGAUAAAUUGUUACUAUCAUAAAUAGGAUUAAUGUUCAAGAAUCGUGUCAAUGAACGAACAAAGAUACUACUGCACGGAAAAUAAACAUUGUAUUAAAAUAAUGGAUUGUAUAUUAAUUGUUUUGACAAACUAGUGGGGUGUGUAACCUGUUGGCAAAACGCAUCGAAUCAACAUAAACCAUACUUAAAUUGUUUCGAAAAUCUUACCGUAUAAUACGACAAUAGACCGGCAUUGUCAUCUAGAACAAACCAUCGAUAUUGCCAUCCGUUAACAACAUUUGUCCAUUUGCUAAGUGAACCUUCCAUCGUCGACAUUGUUAUUUGUUGCUCGCUGUUACUCACGGCAUAUAUACAGUAAACAUUAAAUAUGGAAGAAAAACAUGGUUCAAGUACAUUGGAAGACGAAGAAGUGGAGGAGUCAGAAAAUAUAAUAAUAAAUGAAGUUGAUGGAUUACCAAAUUUACAUCCUAAUUAUCAACAGUUAGAAUUAGAAUUUGAUGUAGAAAAAGGUCAUAGUGAGACUAAUACAAGGUCUCUAGAGGAUUUAGUUCACGAUGAAGAUUUACCAACAUCUGUCAUAGUAACGAAUGUGGAUCCUCGAGUAUUUAAAAGUGAUGAACUAAAGCAUAAAAUAGAAGAUCUAUUUAAACAAUUUGGAGAAGAUGCUACAUUUCAAUAUUUUAGAUCAUUUAGAAGAAUGAGAGUAAACUAUAGUUCUCCAAAUGCAGCUGCAAAUGCUAGGAUACAGUUACAUCAAACACACUUCGGCGAGACAGAUAUCAAUUGUUACUUUGCACAGCCUGUCACUCCGAUAGAUAUGGAAGAUCAGCAUCUUCAACCACCAGCACUUACUAAACAGUUCCUAAUUUCACCACCUGCUUCACCACCUAUCGGCUGGGAGCCCAGAGAGGAAAAUGAACCUUUAGUUAAUCACGAUCUGUUAGCAGCUAUAGCAAACUUAUCUGCAGGAGGAAGCCAUGAAUUACAUCCUGGAGGUUCUGGUCAGCCAGGAAUAGUUGUCCAUGUUUGCGAAACAACAAAUCCUGUAAAAAACGCCCCACGCAUACAGCAUACACGUUGUCCAGAACAUUCAUAAGUAGCAUCAUUAGAAAUAUUGUCCUUUUUAUGGCAAUGAAUUAUUUAUCCAUCCAAGAAGAAACUAGAGGCAUUACUUACAAUGGCAUUCAAUAUUCAAACAUUUUUAUUGCUAUACUGCAAAAUUGAGAAUUCUUAACUUGUGGUAGUAGCAUCACAAGAAAUGAUUUGUAAAUGUGUUUUGCUAUGGCAAGUACAUAUAUAUAACAUUAUUUUAUGCUGAAAUUGCAAAUAAAAAUAUAUUAUCGAGAACGUUAUAUAUAUACAUAUAUAUUAGGCUGUUACACAUGAAGUAGUUGAUUUUAUUGAUAGGUGUAAAAUAGUACUUUUAAGAAUUAGAAUUAUUAAUUGAAAAUUAAUUAUUAAAAGAAUCUUAUAUUCUGUUCCUUUUAAGAUCUCUUUAUACAUUGGUAAUGAU